GUAGCCCAGCCUGCAAUCCCCACAUGAAGAUUUGGGAUUAGACCAAACUUUUCCCCAGUCACGUGUUACUUUCCGUCCCCUCACGGAACUACAACCCCCCAUACCCCAUUGCGGGCGGUGCAGGGAAUGCCGGGAGUCAGACAGUGACAGAAGGAGAAAGUGAGUCUUCUCUAUUUGGCAUGUCUGGAAACUAUACCAGGGCUGGCUGAGAUGUACACAUGAUUAUGUGACCAGAACAGAGGAUCAGCACAGCACCACACCAAGUUACUAAGAGUGAAGAGAAGAGAUUGGAUACAACCAGGAACAGGUGGUGAUCCUUCUUGAGAAGAUCCUUAAGGCUUCCUCUACUAGCAAACUCCAUGGCGAUGAAGGCGUAGUUCUGGUUUUUGGGUAAAGGAAAAAGAGAAUGACUCAGGUGAGCAGGUAGCACAGUAUUGAACAGUUUAAUGUAGGCUUCUACGUGGCUACAUUAGAACAAAGUACAUAUGGCACAAACAGGGGCAUACGUAUAGAAGCUGCAACUGUGCUUGGGCCCUGGUACUGUCAUAAUUACUCCUCUGGAGACAAAGAUAUAUAAAACUAUAAAGGAAUUCUAUUAACUAUAUUGUUUUAGCUCCCUAU